AGAACUGACAGUCCGAAAAGUGGAAUGAGAGGGUAACGCCUUGAAACGCUUUCCCUGAUACUCCGACUGGCAUUUUCUGUAAUGGGAAUUUGUCAGAAGCUCGGUGAAGUCGGCUGAGAGAUACCGUAAUCCGUAAACACGGAACGAAAGUUGUUCAGAGGUGAACAAUGUGUCCUAUAGGUCGGGGGUCUAUAAA
rnacentral:ncRNA from 1 species